GUUUUCGGCCUUCGUCAUGUUUAUCUCUUCCGGUGUGUUCUCGGCCUUGGUUUCUUUCUCGGAACUUAAUGCUGAAGACAUAUGCUCUUGUUGAUCAUUUGAUUCUUCUUUCUCUUCCAAGACACCAGCCACAUUAUCUUCAGACUGGUCGCCUGCUUUACCAACUUCCUCCAUCUGUGUGGACUCGUCAGUUUUAACUAGAUUCCUGGACAGAUCCUCAGGCUCAACAGAAACAUUUAUGCCGCUGGCUUCACCACCAAUCAUGUCUGUAUCAUCCGAUGGGUUCUCAGCCUUGUUCUCUUCCUCUGAACUUAAUGCUGAAGACAAAGGCUCUCGUUGAUCCUUUGAUUCUUCUUUUUCCUCCAAGACACCAAUGUUAUCUUCAAACAGGUCGCUUGCAUUACCAACUUCCUCCAUCUGUGUGGGCUCCUCAGUUUCAAAUAGACUCCUGGACAAAUCCUCUGGCUGAACCGAAACAUUAAUACCGCUGGCUUCACCAUUGGUCAUGUUUAUCUCUUCUGGUGUGUUUUCGGCCUUAGUCUCUUCCACUGAUCUUAAUGCUGAAGACAAAUGCUCUCCUUGAUCAUUUGAUUCUUCUUUUUCCUUAUCUUCAGGCUGGUCGCUUGCAUUACCAACUUCCCCUACCUGUGUGGGCUCUUCAGUUUCAACUAGAUUCAUGGGUAAAUCCUCAGGCUGAACUGGAACAUUUUUACCGCUGGCUUCACCAUGAAUCAUGUCUCUAUCGUCCGAUGGAUUCUCAGCCUUGUUCUCUUCCUCUGAACUUAAUGCUAUAGACAGAUGCUCUUGCUGAUCCUGUGAUUCUU
rnacentral:lncRNA from 1 species